GUAGUCGUGGCCGAGUGGUUAAGGCAAUGGACUUGAAAUCCAUUGGGGUUAACUUGUACAGGUUCAAAUCCUGCUGACUAGG